rnacentral:rRNA from 1 species
GCUCCAAUAGCGUAUAUUAAUGUUGUUGCAGUUAAAAAGCUCGUAGUUGGAUUUCUGGGUUCUUCGCUAGCUUUGGUCCGCAAGGGCUUCAGUGGGCUGUUUGAAUCCAUCCUCAGGGGGACUUAUGCUGGUAUUUAUUUAUCGGUGUAGGAACGCCUGUCGUUUACUGUGAACAAUUAGAGUGUUCAAAGCAAGGUGUA